CGUCCCACAUGAUCCCCUUUCUCAUUUCUCCCAUGCCACCUCCUCUUCUCCAUCUCUCCUUCUUCUUCUCAUCUCUUGCCUCGUCUCCUAACCCCUCUUCCUCUCAAAUCACGAAUCCGAAUUCGUUGAGGUGGCUGGCAGGGGCUCUAAGGUCGAUGAUGCCAACGAGAAGGCAGAGCGAUAGGACGAGUACUAUCGUGCUGGGUGGAGCGGUGGUCGGAACGGGUCACCAGCGUGAGAAUAUGGGGCAAGGAUGAGGCCCCUUCAUUUGGCCAAGGUAAUAUCAACACGUCGACCCCAGCCACCUGAAUGACGAAGCUGUCAUCGACCAGAUCGCAAGUUGUACUCAAUGGAUGGCAAUUGAAGACCUCCCUUUUGGAUCAAGGGCAGGCACACGUGACUAAUCCAUGGUGAGGUAUCAUUGUGUGUUCGUAUCUCGUUUGAGAGAUAGUUAUGAGUUGACAAUUGCAAGUAUGGAGCCACUUUCAUGUGAUUUAACUUCCACUUCUCUGAGCUUCUCAUUUUUGUUUAAUUUAGACAGAGUAUGACCAUAACAUGCGAUUUAUAGCUAGAUAGUUCUUCCGAUCUGAUCAAUAUUUCCUAUGUAAACCACCAUAUGUCAAUUCUUCAUUGCAUUCGUUGAUGUUUUUCGUAUUUCUACUUGUUUCCUGAUUUCCCUUUUCUCAAUAAUAUGAACCUCCAUGACAGGUGUGGAUAUCGAUCAUGAAUCUCUCCUUUCACAUCAGAUUAUGUUUCAUCUAAAAAGCUUAGAUAUUCUUAUUCCAUCUAUUCCGGCUUAAUGGCUACAUGCAUCGUCCAGAUGUAGAGGCCGGGUGUAUAUCCUCCUUUUCUAAAAACUAAAAGAAAUAUUCUAGCUUAAUACAUAUACCUAGUAAUUAAGCAAAGAAUUAAUGCUUAUUUUGUUGAAUAACUACAACUUUUAUAAUGAAAGGAAAAGCUUUUGGAGGUUCUUGCUUCUCUCUAGAGCUAUAUUUGUAAACUUUGUUUCAAUUCUUGUUAUAUCCUAAAUCUUGCAUGUGGUCCAGAACAAAUGAUGGAUUAUUAUGUACCUUUUAUAACAUGUGACAAAGUAACAUAUACUAGAGUUCAAUGUUAAUACAUCAAGGAGAGCCUAAUAGAGUCCUUCUCUUUUGCUUGAUUUGUUUAUUUUAUUUGUAUUGACACAUAGUUUAUUUUGGUUGCUUAACUCGGUAUUUUGUUCAAACUUCAUGUUACUUGAGCUAACUGUAGAGCAUUAUAUUGCUUAAAGUAAAACAAGAUAAAACAAAUUUUAUUGAUGUGUUAGUUUUGUACCAAUUCAUUUAUAUGAAGUCAAGUGCUUAUUGUUAGAGAUUUAUUCUGAGUUACACGAAGUUGCUUAAUUUGGGGGCAGCAUGUGGCUGAGUGUCUCUGCAUGAUCUUGAACUAGAGCGUGCCAUCAUAGGCAUCAUCAAUAAAAAAAUUGCUCGUGAGGGUUCUCGCUCCAAAUGUUUGAGGAAAAAUGGAUCAACUUAUGAAACAUUUAUGGAUAUCCAAAUUUUACAUUUUUGUAAGUCCAGCUGAUUACCUUUGUUUGUUUUAUAGAUUAAAUAAUGUAUUAGCAGCAACACCUCUUUAUUGCCAGGUUAUAUGCAUUGGUUUAUGCUUGUGUUGUCAUGUUUUUUUCCUAUCACACUGAUUGGGGAACCGGGAUCACAUAUUCCUCUCUACUAGCUAACUAACUAGAAAUUUACUAUGUGAAUGUAUGUCGCAUCACUUCUUCAUAUCAUGCUCUUUGAACUAGUGAGACAUUUCCUUCACACGGUACAGGAAAGAUACCACGCCUCCUUUCUUAUUUGAAAUAAGAGUAAUUAUUUUAUUUUAUGAUUCAUUUGACACUAUUGAGCGGGUUUUUAUGAAUGAUUCUAUAACUUGCUAGUAAUUUGAAUAAAAGGCAAAAUGUAUCGUUGAUAUGGCUAUUCAUUAUUCCAUUUGUGAAUUCUUUUCCAGAUCAAAGAGAAGGUUUAUGCACCUCUAUUAUGCUUACAGAAAAAGGCAUCACAAGGCUAUGGAUUUUCUAGGGUGGGCACAUUCGCUCUUUGGUCUUCUGGUGCAACAUUGUUUGUGUUGUCGAAUUUUGGCUUUUGGCUCCUCGUGUAGCGCUAUCGUAAAUAAAUAGACCAGUUAGAUGCAUUGUGUCCAUUUGUGCUUUGGGUAAAUAAAUGAAGAAAUUUAGAAAAAUAUAUAUUAUGUUCUUUUUGAUUCAUCUUGUAAGAUUGUUACCUUUCUAUUAAUAUAGACGUACUGCCUUGCUUUGCU